UUGGAGGGCAAGUCUGGUGCCAGCAGCCGCGGUAAUUCCAGCUCCAAUAGCGUAUAUUAAAGUUGUUGUGGUUAAAAAGCUCGUAGUUGAACCUUGGGCCUGGCUGGCCGGUCCGCCUCACCGCGUGUACUGGUCCGGCCGGGCCUUUCCCUCUGUGGAACCCCAUGCCCUUCACUGGGUGUGGCGGGGAAACAGGACUUUUACUUUGAAAAAAUUAGAGUGCUCCAGGCAGGCCUAUGCUCGAAUACAUUAGCACGGAAUAAUAGAAUAGGACGUGUGGUUCUAUUUUGUUGGUUUCUAGGACCGCCGUAAUGAUUAAUAGGGACAGUCGGGGGCAUCAGUAUUCAAUUGUCAGAGGUGAAAUUCUUGGAUUUAUUGAAGACUAACUACUGCGAAAGCAUUUGCCAAGGAUGUUUUCAUUAAUCAGGAACGAAAGUUAGGGGAUCGAAGACGAUCAGAUACCGUCGUAGUCUUAACCAUAAACUAUGCCGACUAGGGAUCGGAACGAUUAUU
rnacentral:rRNA from 1 species